UAGUCCACGCCGUAAACGAUGGAUACUAGCUGUCCGAGGCCUUGAGUCUUGGGCGGCCAAGCGAAAGUGAUAAGUAUCCCACCUGGGGAGUACGUUCGCAAGAAUGAAACUCAAAGGAAUUGACGGGGGCCCGCACAAGCGGUGGAGCAUGUGGUUUAAUUCGAUGAUACGCGAGGAACCUUACCAGGGCUUAAAUGCAUAUUGACAGGGCCAGAGAUGGCUUUUCCUUCGGGCAAUUUGCAAGGUGCUGCAUGGUUGUCGUCAGCUCGUGCCGUGAGGUGUCAGGUUAAGUCCUAUAACGAGCGCAACCCCUGCCGUUAGUUGCCAGCAUGUAAAGAUGGGGACUCUAACGGGACUGCCGGUGCAAACCGUGAGGAAGGUGGGGACGACGUCAAAUCAUCAUGGCCUUUAUGCCUAGGGCUACACACGUGCUACAAUGGCAGGUACAGAGGGUUGCGAAGGGGUGACCUGGAGCUAAUCUCAGAAAGCCUGUCCCAGUUCGGAUUGG
rnacentral:rRNA from 1 species